rnacentral:rRNA from 1 species
GACGAACGCUGGCGGCGUGCUUAACACAUGCAAGUCGAACGGAAAGGCCCUGCUUUUGUGGGGUGCUCGAGUGGCGAACGGGUGAGUAACACGUGAGUAACCUGCCCUUGACUUUGGGAUAACUUCAGGAAACUGGGGCUAAUACCGGAUAGGAGCUCCUGCUGCAUGGUGGGGGUUGGAAAGUUUCGGCGGUUGGGGAUGGACUCGCGGCUUAUCAGCUUGUUGGUGGGGUAGUGGCUUACCAAGGCUUUGACGGGUAGCCGGCCUGAGAGGGUGACCGGCCACAUUGGGACGGAGAGACGGCCCAGACUCCUACGGGAGGCAGCAGUGGGGAAUAUUGCACAAUGGGCGGAAGCCUGAUGCAGCAACGCCGCGUGCGGGAUGACGGCCUUCGGGUUGUAAACCGCUUUCGCCUGUGACGAAGCGUGAGUGACGGUAAUGGGGAAAGAAGCACCGGCUAACUACGU